rnacentral:rRNA from 1 species
AGAGUUUGAUCCUGGCUCAGAUUGAACGCUGGCGGCAUGCCUUACACAUGCAAGUCGAACGGCAGCGCGGGGCAACCUGGCGGCGAGUGGCGAACGGGUGAGUAAUAUAUCGGAACGUACCCUGGAGUGGGGGAUAACGUAGCGAAAGUUACGCUAAUACCGCAUACGAUCUAAGGAGGAAAGUGGGGGAUCGCAAGACCUCAUGCUCCUGGAGCGGCCGAUAUCUGAUUAGCUAGUUGGUAGGGUAAAAGCCUACCAAGGCUUCGAUCAGUAGCUGGUCUGAGAGGACGAUCAGCCACACUGGAACUGAGACACGGUCCAGACUCCUACGGGAGGCAGCAGUGGGGAAUUUUGGACAAUGGGCGCAAGCCUGAUCCAGCAAUGCCGCGUGAGUGAAGAAGGCCUUCGGGUUGUAAAGCUCUUUUGUCAGGGAAGAAACGGUAGGAGCUAAUAUCUCUGCUAAUGACGGUACCU